GUCGAUGAAAUAUCAUGCAAAUUGGUGCCUGCGUCUCAAAGAUUCCCUGUGUAAAUGGAUAUCGCUACUAACCACUAGAAAACCGAUUUGCACAAAUUCCCCCAUUUUCAGAAAUAGGGUUUCGAUUCCCUCUAAGAUUCCUUUUAGAAUAUACACUU